rnacentral:misc_RNA from 1 species
GUUGCCAAAACGCAAAACCCCUUCAACAAUCAGCUAAAACUGAGGAUGAUAAACCCCUAAAAUCAGUAACUGCUGUCAAAACCAUGGAAAUGCCAGUUGUGCACGAAUCCAGUCGCGUAACUUGCGCCGCCUGCGGUGAAGCCAGCCUUGGUGGGCUCCCUCUUUCUUCCUCUCCAUCCAUUAAGACUGCAGAAAUACAAAAGGCGGCGGCGGAGGAGACCCUCAAGGUAGCGACAAUCAAAGCAGAGGAGGAGGAGGGGGGGGAAGAGGAUAAAGGGGCCAUUGCCAUAGUCCAGUCUGGUAAAUGCUUUAAUGGUGGUGGCGGUGAAGUUGAGGGUGUUAGUGACAAUCGGUCAUUAUCUUCGUGUUUUUCAGUGGAUUUGCCCAAAUCCAUGGAGGGUUUACACGAGACGGGUCCGCCACCGUUUUUAAAGAAGACUUUUGAGAUGGUGGAGGAUCCGGAGACGGAUUCCACUGUGUCUUGGAGUAAAAAUCGGGAUAGUUUAAUCGUCUGGAACGCUCAUGAGUUUUCCAAACAUUUGCUUCCUAAAUACUUCAAGCACUGUAAUUUUUCCAGCUUCGUUCGCCAGCUCAACACCUAUGUUCAGGAACAUAUUUAAUGGAAUAAUUUUUAGUGUAGCAAAUUAUUGCCUUAGUGUUGUGGGUUUCGUUUCUUAUGGUGCAAAAUGGUCUCAGGGUUUUAGAAAGAUUGAUCCCGAUAGAUGGGAGUUUGCAAAUGAAGGGUUUCGAGGAGGGAACAAACAUUUGCUCAAGAACAUCAAGAGAAGAAGUAGGUACAACAAGCAGCAACAAGGAGCAGCAGGCGGUGAUGAUUCGGCUAAACCUGGUUUGGAAGCCGAACUUGAAAGUUUGAAGAAUGAUCAGGACUUAUUGAGGAUCGAAAUCCUCAAUCUUAAGCAGCAACAAGAGAACUCGGAGAAUCAACUGAGUAUUGUUGAACAGCGCAUUGGAGUUGCAGAGUGCAAGCAGUUGCAGAUGUUCAUUUUCCUAGCUAAAGCUGCUAAGAACCGUGCCUUUAUUCAAAAUCUUUUCCAGAAGAGAAAGCAACAGAGAGAACUGGAUGGGAGUGAAUUCAAGAAAAGCAAAUUGCUUUCCACUCAAAUUCCUGAAAACUUGCCUGAUGCAGCAGAUGCCAGCCAAAGUGUCAAUUGUAGACACCAAGCUCAGGAACAAUUGGCCGCAAUGCAAACUGAACUUACUGAGAUGGUAAGCAAUGAUACAGAGGCCAACACGAUAUCAAAACUAAUCGAGAAUUCUAUAAGUGAUGAGUUUUGCAGUCCUAUUCAGGAUCAGAAGGCCAAUUUGAUAUGUGGUACCAAUGAUCGGGAAACUGUUUAUCAUCUAAUGUCAGAGAAAUUACUGGAUGACAAUGCAGUUUCUGAGAAUUUAGUUGAAGAAGACUUGGAAGUGAAUGAGACUAAGUUUUACCUUGAAUUGGAAAAUUUGAUUGUAAAGCCUUGAAGUUGGGGUGGGUAUUUAACAGAGCUAGUACAGCAUGUGGGUUGUAUUUGAUCAGUACAUUUCUAUGGUAAAAUCUUCUGUUUUUCUCCUACAUCAUUUGCAAUUAGUUGGGAUACAUGUUUAUGUUUGGCAUGUUUUUACCAUACAGGUAGCAGAGUUGUUUCUUGACUUCAUACACAGAGAACAAGUUGUGCAAACUCGCCCUUCCACUUGAGCUCCUAAGCCCACAUUGGAGAUGCCAGUGUUUGAUAAUGGUCAUAAAUUGUCUAUAUUUUCUGCUUCAUUUUCCCUUUUUUUUUUCACCAAUGUUAAAUUCUCUGGAUUGUAAAAAUUGUCACACCAGUAAAUACCACAGUUUAGUUUUGCAUCAAAGGUUUUACAAUACCUCUGUAGUGACUCUGGAUCAAAUCAAAC